UGCCAAAACAUCAAGUCUCUAAGUAAUAAUUUUAAUUGAAUUACAAAAAAAAAAAAAAAAAUAUUAGUAUCCCGUUUUUUCAAGUAUUAUGUCAACCACUUGGAAAAUCAGAAAAAAAAUUUCCUUUCAAAAGUUGUGCUACACUUGAUACAUCGAAUCAAGAUUUCUGGUAGAAAAGUUGUUCACAAAAUAAAAAGAACAUAAGAAAAAAAUGUUAACAUCAUUGUAAAACCAAUGCAUUCCUCGUCACCCUCCAAAUCUAAAAUGAGAAAGACGGACAUGCUUGGCACGUAGGCCACUAUUGUAGGUGAUAAGUCUGGAAGGCAAGGGGAAAUUUUAUGUAUCUGUGUGUAACAGUUAACCAUUGCUAAAGAAAAACGAUUCUGAACGGGGUUC